GAUGAAGAACGCAGCGAAAUGCGAUAAGUAAUGUGAAUUGCAGAAUUCAGUGAAUCAUCGAAUCUUUGAACGCACAUUGCGCCCCCUGGUAUUCAGGGGGGCAUGCCUGUUCGAGCGUCAUUUCACCACUCAAGCCUCGCUUGGUAUUGGGCAUCGCGGUCCGCCGCGCGCCUCAAAUCGACCGGCUGGGUCUUCUGUCCCCUAAGCGUUGUGGAAACUAUUCGCUAAAGGGUGUUCGGGAGGCUACGCCGUAAAACAACCCCAUUUCUAAGGUUGACCUCGGAUCAGGUAGGGAUACCCGCUGAACUUAAGCAUAUCAAUAAGCGGAGGA
rnacentral:misc_RNA from 1 species